rnacentral:rRNA from 1 species
AACGCGAAGAACCUUACCUGGGCUUGAACCGCACAGGACCAGCUUGAGAAAUCAGGCCUUCCCGCAAGGGACCUGUGUAGAGGUGCUGCAUGGCUGUCGUCAGCUCGUGCCGUGAGGUGUUGGGUUAAGUCCCGCAACGAGCGCAACCCUUAUCAUUAGUUGCCAACACGCGAGGUGGGGACUCUAAUGAGACUGCCCGGGUUAACCGGGAGGAAGGUGAGGAUGACGUCAAGUCCGCAUGGCCUUUAUGUCUGGGGCAACACAUGUGCUACAAUGGUCGGUACAGAAGGCAGCAAGACCGCAAGGUGGAGCAAAUCCGUAAAGCCGAUCUCAGUUCAGAUUGUAGUCUGCAACUCGGCUACAUGAAGUUGGAAUUGCUAGUAAUGACGUAUCAGCUACGACGUCGUGAAUACGUUCCCGGGCCUUGUACACACCGCGAGC